UCUUUCCAUGCAUUUUUAUUCAGUUAUUUUUCUAGUUUCAUUUUUAUGAGCCUAUGGGUGAUUUGCAGUGUUGUGUCAAUUUCUGCUGUAGAGCGUAGGACCCAGUCAUACAUAUAUGAACGUUUUUUUUCUCAAACAUCUUCCAUUAUGUUUUUUUUUUAAAUUGUUAUUUCCCCAACACAAUCUUUUUUUCCACUGUGCAGCAUAGGACCCAGUUACACAUACAUGUAUACAUAUUUUUCCUCCCAUUGUCGUGCUCCGUGGUAAGGACCCAGACCUAGUUCUCAGUGCUACACAGCAGGAUCUCGUGGUUUCCAACAGCAAUCGUUUGCAUCCCUUAACCCCAAGCUCCCCCUCCCUCCCCCUCCCCCUGGGGCAACCACAAGUCUCUCCUCCAAGUCCGAGAUUUUCUUUUCCGUGGGAAGGUUCAUUUGUGCCGAAUAUUAGAUCCCAGAUCUGAGUGACAGCAGAUGGUAUUUGUCUUUCUCUGACUCACGUCACUCAGUGUGAGAGUCUCUAGUUCCAUCCACGUCGCUGCCCUUGACGAUCCGAAAGCCUCGGCAACAAAGUCGUGAGUGAUUCCUAUUAAAACUGGAUUCAUGGAUUCCGUUGGUGUCUUUUUUAAAAGUGUCGCUGGAGAGAGACCCAGAGCAAGCAGUAGAUGUGUGUGUAGUUUUCAGCCGUGCUUCCUGGGCCUCCUCCCAUCACGGCGAGCCCAGGGCUUGCCCGAUCCGGGUCUCGUCUUCUGUCUCCUAAGAGCACCAGUCACUCGCCCACCAACCAUCCAAGAGGUUUGAAUUCUAGUUUUUCCUGCAGGGGUCUCCAGAGCCUUCUCAGUGACUCCUGCAAAGACAACUUUCCUGGUGUUCUCUUAUGGGGCCUCAGGGUAAGUAAGGCAUUAUCACUGCAGUGGCUCUGGUUGCUGCUGUAGCACAGGUUCAGUCCCUGCCCCGGGAACUUCUAUAUGCUGGGGGGGGUUGCAAAAGGAGGGGAGACAACUUUUCCAAAUAAAAUCACAUUCAUAGGUUCCAGAGAUUUGCACAUAGAUCUUUUUAAAAAAAAAUGUAUCGGAGGAGUUCCCGCUGUGGCUCAGCGGAAACAAACCUGACCAGUCUCCAU
rnacentral:lncRNA from 9 species